AACGCCGCGUGGAGGAAGAAAGCCUUCGGGUUGUAAACUCCUGUCAGGUGGGAAGAAAAGGCGCAGGUAAACAAUCUGCGUCGCUGACGGUACCACCAGAGGAAGCCCCGGCUAACUCCGUGCCAGCAACUUCGGUGACUGAGCGGGCUGGCAAGGCGCAUA
rnacentral:rRNA from 1 species